rnacentral:misc_RNA from 1 species
AACAAGGCGUACCUGCGGACCUGCGGAAGGAUCAUUAAUAAAGGCUUGUCGAGUUCUACUCGACAUUCCUGAUCAUUCCUUUGUGCACUUUCGAUAAUGCUUUGGUAGAUUUUCAAAAAUCUACCAAAAGUUUUAUUAAAGCCUUUCUUUUAUGUCUGAAAUAAAGAAAUUUAAUUCAAAUACAACUUUCAACAACGGAUCU